AAUUCUCAACCUCUUCCAUUUUUAUUAAUGGUUUAGGCUUGGAUGUGGGGGUUGCGGGCUUCUUAGAAGUCGGCUCUCCUUAAAUGCAUUAGCGGAACCUUUGUGGACCGUCUUUGGUGUGAUAAUUAUCUACGCCAUGGUCGUGAAGCAGUUUUACAUGGGGUUCAGCUUAUAACCGUCUAUUUACUUGGACAACUUUUGACA
rnacentral:misc_RNA from 1 species